GGCUUUUCAACUUGGUAUCAAUUUGAAGAAGGGGAGGUAACCUAUGGAUAGGGGAAAGAACGUCGUUAAAUAAUUUUUGAUAACUUAUCAUCGUGCCUACAUAAUACCAUUACUAAUACUAUGUCCAAAAUUCAAGAGAAACCUAGUCAGAACUGGAAUGACUUUGUAAAAGAAUAUUUGUUGACAGAAUAUGAGCCUACUGUAUCUGGUGCAUGCAUGUCAACUAAACAAGGCAUACCAGUACUUAAUUAUGGAGAACUUAGCCAUCUGAAACAGGCUGACAUGAAAUAUUUUCUCUCCUUGUUCAAUCCUAAACCUAAACAGGAGGAAGAAUUUACUGAAAUAUAUUUACCAAAUACUCGAUUCAAAUUCAGAGUUAUUUGUCAAACAUAUAAGAGUAUAUAUGGAACUGCUUGUGAUAG